rnacentral:rRNA from 1 species
AUGUUCCAAGUCAACUUGUUACUUGUAAAUUCUAUACUAAGCAAUUGUUGCAUCUACAGGUGGUUAACAUUUCAAGCGUUUCCCUUUAGAGGACAUGAUGAAUCUCCAGGAUCUAAAAACCGAGGUAAUUUUAUUGAUAUUCUCAAGAUGUUGGCGUCGUAUAAUAAAGAGGUCGAUGAAGUGGUGUUAGAAAAUGCUCCAAGAAAUGCAAAGUACGCUUCCGGAGAAGUCCAGAAAGAAAUUGUAAGCAUAAUUGCCCGUAAAGUGCAAAAAUCAAUUAAAGAAGAAAUUGGCAAUCGCAAGUUUUGUAUAAUGGUUGAUGAAGCUAGGUAUGAAUCCAAAAAAGAGCAGAUGGCGGUUGUUAUUAGAUUUGCCAAUGAAGAAUCAAUUAUUACAGAGCGCUUUCUUGAUGUAGUGCAUGUUACAGAUACUGCUGCAACAACUCUCAAAGACAAGAUACUUGCUGUUCUAGCUUUCAAUAACCUGAAUGUGCAAGAUAUCAGGGGCCAAGCAUAUGAUGAGGAUAGAAACAUGAGGGGAGAGUGGAAUGGAUUGAAGGCUCUUAUUCUUCGGGAGUGUCCGUAUGCAUACUACAUUCAUUGUAUGGCUCAUCAGCUGCAGUUAGCUCUUGUUGCAGCAUCCAGAGAGGUGCAUGAGGUACACAACUUCUUUCAGCAUGUGAUACGUCUCCAACGUAUCUAUAAUUUUUGA